rnacentral:sRNA from 1 species
AAACAAAAUUUCCAAUUACAGAUUUUUAAAUGAUAUUUUUAUCAUCAUUUAAAUUAAAAAUAUUUGGUUAAUUUAUAAACAUAAUAAAUGCGCAUGAAGAAAAAGAAAAAAAAAAUCAAAAUAAUUGAAUUAUGGGUUAUGACCAAGGAAUAAAUAAUACUAAAAACAUAAAAAGAGAUCUAAAAGAAGGUUCAAACUUGAACUAGGUGGGUCAAGUCAUAGAGAUCUCAACCAAAUGAGCCAAUUGACUUGAAAGCUUGCAAACAAUUUAAUUUAUAUAUUUUAAUUGAUGUCAGUUGACCUUUUUCUUUCAACGUGGGUUUACUUGUGGUUGCAUCGUUUCUUGAAUGUGACAGAAAAGGAUCGGUAAACCGUUUUAAAGGACAAGGACAUAUCUCGUCAAAAAGCUUAGAGAGUACCUCACGAUCUCUCUCACUUAUACUUUCCACAUUUUGAGAGAUUCACAUUUUCUUAGUUAUCCUCGAUAACAACUUACUGCAAUAUAGGAGACCAAUCAAAUCAGCGCAAACAAAAUAGUAUAAGAUUAUGUUUGUGUAUGAUUUGUACAAGACAUCAAGUAAACUUAUAGAUUGUAUAGAUCAAGCUGAUGAUAAUUUUUGGCAGAUCUGUGCCUAGGGUUACGGAUGCCAAAGACGAUGUUUUUCAAAAAAAA